GACGAACGCUGGCGGCGUGCUUAACACAUGCCAGUCGAACGAAGAGCGACGGAAGCUUGCUUCUCUCAAUCUUAGUGGCGACCGGGUGAGUAACGCGUAAUCAACCUGCCCUUCAGAGGGGGACAACAGUUGGAAACGACUGCUAAUACCGCAUACGAUCUAACCUCGGCAUCGAGGAUAGAUGAAAGGUGGCCUCUACAUGUAAGCUAUCACUGAAGGAUGGGAUUGCGUCUGAUUAGCUAGUUGGAGGGGUAACGGCCCACCAAGGCGAUGAUCAGUAGCCGGUCUGAGAGGAUGAACGGCCACAUUGGGACUGAGACACGGCCCAGACUCCUACGGGAGGCAGCAGUGGGGAAUCUUCCGCAAUGGACGAAAGUCUGACGGAGCAACGCCGCGUGAGUGAUGACGGCCGUCGGGUUGUAAAGCUCUGUUAAUCGGGACGAAAGGCCUUCUUGCGAAUAGUGAGAAGGAUUGACGGUACCGGAAUAGAAAGCCACGGCUAACUACGUG
rnacentral:rRNA from 1 species